GGGGUCGUUACGGAUUCGACAGGCAUUAUGAGGCUUGUUUUGCAACCCAUCGGCAGAUGUCAAAAUGCCAGUUAAAUAUAACUGCAAAAAAUACAAAUUCUUACGCAGUAGCUGCCUAAACACCAGCCUGUGUGACUAAUAGCAGAUUGCUUGUGUUUGCCUAUUAGUCUUAAAAUCAGCAAGCUACAUUAGGUUGCAGUCAGGUCAGCCUAAAAGAGAUUUACUGACUCGCAAGAUUUGGGCUUGAGUUAUGUGUCGAGGUCUUGUUAAACCAAUACAUAACCUAUGGUUGUAGACGAAUAAGUUAGCAGGUGUUUGGACGUGGGUUCGACUCCCACCGGCUCCACCA
rnacentral:tmRNA from 1 species